CCACCAACUCGUUGGAAGCGAAUGCCUCUGGCAGUCCGUUUGAUGAUGCCAUCGUGUUGUCACUAUCGUAGUCGGCUGAUUGCUGUUUGGAAAGUUCAACUGAUUUUAAUCUGCACGAGAAAAUAAGCGUGAUGCUGCCACGAUAUCGAAAGGCAGAGAGAGUUGUGCGUGCGUGCCGCUUCUUAGCAAAAGACUGACGCCCCUGUGAAAAACGAAUUUGGCGUCGCCUCUCUACAACACGAGUCGUUAUUGCCACCGCACAGCAGCAGCAGCAGCUCUUUUCGGCGGUUCUUUAACGCGACCGACUCCCACACACGGAUGAGACAUCGGAUCUACUUUUGGAUUUGGACCAUUUCGAGUUUUCGCGGCGACUGUUUACUGUUGACGCGCUUCUAAAGAGUCUUUUUAUUAAAACCAACGGGAAAAUGAUUUUUUAAAAAUUCCUUUGGGUAACAUUUGCCGGUUACAAAUCUACUUGGCUAUAAGUUUAAUGGGAACUAUAUCUGUCACUCUGCAAUUUGGCGCGAAAUUCAAUUAUCUCUGCUUAAGCCGUUGGGGUUUUUAAAAUUUCAAAAGUUGCGGGACGAAAGUUAAGCUAAUGCUAGUUUGAGGGGGGGUUGGCUUCAUAAGUUGCGAUAAUAAAUUGAAAACAGGUGAGACGGACGUCUCGACCCCCGUUGGCUGACGGUUGAAUUCGUCUCUGUCGUUUAUUUCUCGCGAUAAUAUGUCGGAUUGCCGCGGCUGUUAACAUUCGCUCCGCGUUGCCCGUUAAUCGUGGCGUUUCCGUCUGACAGAUCAAC